rnacentral:rRNA from 1 species
AAAAUUAGCGGAUGACCUGUGGCUGGGGGUGAAAGGCCAAUCAAACCGGGAGAUAGCUGGUUCUCCCCGAAAGCUAUUUAGGUAGCGCCUCGUGAAUUCAUCUCCGGGGGUAGAGCACUGUUUCGGCUAGGGGGCCAUCCCGGCUUACCAACCCGAUGCAAACUGCGAAUACCGGAGAAUGUUAUCACGGGAGACACACGGCGGGUGCUAACGUCCGUCGUGAAGAGGGAAACAACCCAGACCGCCAGCUAAGGUCCCAAAGUCAUGGUUAAGUGGGAAACGAUGUGGGAAGGCCCAGACAGCCAGGAUGUUGGCUUAGAAGCAGCCAUCAUUUAAAGAAAGCGUAAUAGCUCACUGGUCGAGUCGGCCUGCGCGGAAGAUGUAACGGGGCUAAACCAUGCACCGAAGCUGCGGCAGCGACGCUGAUGCGUUGUUGGGUAGGGGAGCGUUCUGUAAGCCUGUGAAGGUGGCCUGUGAGGGUUGCUGGAGGUAUCAGAAGUGCGAAUGCUGACAUAAGUAACGAUAAAGCGGGUGAAAAGCCCGCUCGCCGGAAGACCAAGGGUUCCUGUCCAACGUUAAUCGGGGCAGGGUGAGUCGACCCCUAAGGCGAGGCCGAAAGGCGUAGUCGAUGGGAAACAGGUUAAUAUUCCUGUACUUGGUGUUACUGCGAAGGGGGGACGGAGAAGGCUAUGUUGGCCGGGCGACGGUUGUCCCGGUUUAAGCGUGUAGGCUGGUUUUCCAGGCAAAUCCGGAAAAUCAAGGCUGAGGCGUGACGACGAGGCACUACGGUGCUGAAGCAACAAAUGCCCUGCUUCCAGGAAAAGCCUCUAAGCAUCAGGUAACAUCAAAUCGUACCCCAAACCGACACAGGUGGUCAGGUAGAGAAUACCAAGGCGCUUGA